CUCAGUGUUGUUCAUGUUCAGUCGGCCCGUCUGUUUGGCGCGCUGAGGUUGUGUUGGAUCGUGUUUUCAGCCGCUCGCACCGACCCACGUGCGCAUGCUACUGCGUUGCUGAUAAGUGCCUGACUUUUGACUGCCGAUAACAUUGUCCGCGUCGAAACGACCAAUCAAACAAAAGGGAAAAACGCUGCAUUUUUAACUCACUUUUUUGCGCUAUUGACAUUGAUUGAUAACCGACAGGACAGUGUAUGUGGACAGUGGAAAGUGAUCUAUUGGUGGCUACGGGACGUUUUUGUUUUACCGACAAACUGAGGAAUAUAACAGCAGCGGAGGAAUCGCUCUGGAAAUACCUAAAAGGUGAAGGAGGGGGCGGCGGGGCGCGGCGCUGCGCGCGCGAUGCGGCGUCGCCCGCGCACGCGCCCGCGCCGGCGCCGCCGCACGUCAAGAUCGAGCGGCUCAGCCCCCACGACUCCACCGCCUCCAGAUCCCGCAGCGUGACGCCGUCAACGUCGUCGUACCCGGGCACGCCGCCGGAGCGCGGCAGCCCGCACGCGCCGCCGCCGCACCCGCCGCGCAACUACUCUGACAUCAUGCGCUCCCUCGCCGCGCGGUACAACAGCCCGCCUAACGACUACUUCCACCGCAUGAACGGCUUCGGCACGGAGCGUGCGCCGGCGCAGGAGGCGACGGACGCGCCGCUCGGCGGGCUGUUCACAAAGAUGGCGAAGCAGCAGGGCGGCCCACCGCGGCUGCCCGCCUUCCCCGUCAUGCUCGAUAUGAGCUCGACUAAGACGCUGCUAGCGAUAUCCCGAGUGGGCCGCGGAGGGCGCUCAAGACGCAAGCGCUCCGGGACAGUACCGGAGCACUCGCCGCUGGACCUGUCGGCGGCGGGAGAGAGCGCGGCCAAGCGCGCGAGGCUCUCCGCGAGCCCGAGCACCAGGAGCGACAGCGGCGAGAGGGACCCCGUGUCUAAUGAUGAGCGAGGCGAGGCGCGAGACUGCUUAUGCGCGGAGGCCCGCGCGCGCCUGUCAGCGUGGACGGUCGACGACGUAUGCGAAUUCGUCACGUCCAUCGACAUCUGUGCAGAAUACGCAGCGAACUUUCGCGAGCAGAGAAUCGACGGAGCCGGUCUUCCCCUCCUCACCGAAGACCACCUCACAGGCAUGCUGCAGAUGAAGCUAGGGCCGGCGCUCAAGCUCAAAGCCGUCCUGGCGAGGAGACUCGAGCCGUGCGCGAGCUGCCAGGCACAAGCCCAAGCCAGCCCUACUACUGUCAGGAUAAACGGGGCAGCCCUAAAGGCGGAGCCAAGGAGCAACACCACCAGCCCUAGUUAGGGUUGAAAUAGUAUUAACUUUUUUUUUUAAUCAUGUCGUGUUUCGUGUUUUCGGCCAGGUUCUGAGCGCGUUUAUGGUGCUGUCAUACGUGAAUUCUAAUGGUGUAAAAACAAAUCACGUUAGAAAUAUCGAUGUUUGUUAAAAAUAUAUGUGGUGUAUUUUUGGCAUCAAAUGUGCUCGUGAACCUGAUUUUCACACUAUUUUAAAUAUAACCGAAUAAUCAAUGUCAUUUAUAAUAAUUGCAUAUUUUUACUCCAUAUCAAGAGCGCCAAAAACGGGUACGGGCGUGAAAGAAUCCCCUUUUUCAUUUGUUUUGAUCGUAUCGAACACGAACCACGCCUUCACUAGAUAAUAAUACGACUCCUAAGUCAUCGAGUCCACGUUUCAGUCUUCCUGUAUUUGUAUAUGUAGAUUUUGCAUUUAGUUAAUUAUUACAUUUAGGUGUACACUUAGCUUAAUCUAUGUAAAUAUAGAUCGUGUAUUGCCGUCCAAAAUGACUUAAUGAAUAAUUUUGUGAAGUAUAUUUGUGUCUAAAUACUUCGCGGACCUUAAAUAGUAAAAUUCGGUGCUAAGACCCUGAGGGAAUAUAAAAACAGUAAGAGCUGUUUAAAAAUGUAUAUAAUGGCCGUUUGUAAAAAUUGUUACUUAUAUAUUUUGAGGCUACUAUAAUCUACAUCUAUACAGGGUCACAAAGAUAUACUGUAUAUACAUACAUAGUUUGUAAAGAUGUAUAUUUACUUCACUGUAUCAUAGCAUUUAAUACACCUGAAAAAAGCUCAGUAUAUUGAUACCGACUACAGUAAUAUUACUUAGUACAUAAUACGAUUGUGUAAUUUAGUUUAAAUGAAACCUUUUUCCAACCCGCAUAAUAUUUGCCUGUAUAAAAAUGUAAAUAAGUACGUUCCACUUGUGACUAGUUUUCAGUUCUAUUUUACUGUAGAGAUAAAUACAAUGUAACGAGUAGGUUUUUACCUGUGGUAAUCUCCUUAAUUGCCAAAAUAGUGUAUGUUUUGCAACAUAUAGACAAUACGUAUGUAUACAUACAAUAUGUUAGAGUAACGUGAUGGACAAGCGAGAAAAAAACUUUUCUUUGAAAGGCACAUUAUACACUUAUACAGUACGUCUUCCAACACAUAAAUCACCUAACAAUAGUAAAUAGUACUGAUAAAAUAAUAAUCCUAGCAUAAUCGCAACACAUACGAUUUAAAAAUAUAUUUAAAGGUGCUAUUUUGGUGAUAAAAAUCUUUGCUCAGGAUAUAAUAUAGUCUUCCUAAAAUGAAAAUAUAUUCAGAUGUUAAAGUAUUACGGUUCUACGCUUUAAAUCAGUUAAUACAAUAAUACUUAAUUAUAGAUAAUAAUUGAAAAUAUAAAUAGGUGAUGCUAUUUUAGCAUUAUAUUCAAGAAUCAGUGCUUUUAUUAUGUAACUAACGUAUAAUAGGACCAGUGACUUACGAAUGAAUGUUUAU